GAUGAACGCUAGCGGCAGGCUUAACACAUGCAAGUCGAGGGGCAGCAUAAUGGAUAGCAAUAUCUAUGGUGGCGACCGGCGCACGGGUGCGUAACGCGUAUGCAACCUACCUUUAACAGGGGGAUAACACUGAGAAAUUGGUACUAAUACCCCAUAAUAUCAUAGAAGGCAUCUUUUAUGGUUGAAAAUUCCGAUGGUUAGAGAUGGGCAUGCGUUGUAUUAGCUAGUUGGUGGGGUAACGGCUCACCAAGGCGACGAUACAUAGGGGGACUGAGAGGUUAACCCCCCACACUGGUACUGAGACACGGACCAGAAUCCUACGGGAGGCAGCAGUGAGGAAUAUUGGUCAAUGGACGCAAGUCUGAACCAGCCAUGCCGCGUGCAGGAGGACGGCUCUAUGAGUUGUAAACUGCUUUUGUACGAGGGUAAACGCAGAUACGUGUAUCUGUCUGAAAGUAUCGGACGAAUAAGGAUCGGCUAACUCCGUG
rnacentral:rRNA from 1 species